CCAAGGAGUCUAACAUGUGCGCGAGUCGUGGGGCUCUACGAACCUCCUAGGCGCAAUGAAAGUGAAGGUCGCUUGCGGCCGAGGUGGGAUCCCGUCCCCCGGGGCGGGCGCACCACCGGCCCGUCUCGUCGGCGCUGUCCGAGAGGCGGAGCGAGAGCGUACACGUUGGGACCCGAAAGAUGGUGAACUAUGCCUGAGUAGGGUGAAGCCAGAGGAAACUCUGGUGGAAGUCCGUAGCGAUUCUGACGUGCAAAUCGAUCGUCGAACUUGGGUAUAGGGGCGAAAGACUAAUCGAACCAUCUA
rnacentral:rRNA from 2 species